ensembl:lncRNA
GACCUCAGAAGGUGACAUGAUAUUUGUAUGUGGAUUAAAGCAAAGCCCAAGAACUACUGGAAUCUUAAAGAACAAAUAAGCUGGGUUUCUGGAAGCUUGGGAGAGGAAACCAUAAACCAGAUCAGAUCUAACCACCAGCACAUGCUCAAUGGCAGAGUGAUUUUGUUGUCUAACGGUCAGCUUUACACUCACCGAAGGGAGGCUGUCGAACUCAUUUUUUCCAGUAACUACGGCAGGCUCAGGACCUAGGGAUUAAGGACUCUUCCAAGGCCAAAUAUGUGUUUGGGAGCUGAAAAGUUAAGGGAUGGAUCCUCCAAAAGUAAAAGAACCUGUGUGGGACAAAAACCUAAAAAUGACCCUGAAGGCAGUUCUACUGUCUCAAAAAACGAAGGGCUCAGCCAAUGUGAAGUGCUGGUAGGAGCCCUCCUUGCCUGGCUAUAGUUUGGCCAUGACCUUCCUCUACUUGUGGCCAUGCUCCUGUCAGGGACCUCAUUCCUACAGUGAUUUUUGAGUGGCUUCCGCGUACCAAGAACUAUGGGGAUGUAAAAAAUGUAACAUCCUUCACUUAGAUAUUAGUUGGAAAGACAAGAGAGCUAUGUAACAAUGCAAGGAGCAACAAUGAAAGGUAAGAGCCAAAAUGAUUGACAGAGACAAGUGCUCAGGAACCCAGAGGUGGAGAAGUGCAGUGCAGGCUGAACCAAAAGCAGAACUUCUCAUGGGGGGAUAACUUGGGCUGGGUGUUUUCAUUUCAUUCGAUAAAAGAAUUAAGGCAUUUCCUCAAAAGCACAUAAAAUAUGAUGAAAGAGAAAUGGAAAUAAGGAAUAACUUUCAGAGAAAAUAAAAAUAAAGUAGAAAACUAAAACCGUGUCAAACAACAACAUAAGAUCACAAACCAAGAAGGCCACUAUAUUUGCUAUAGUUGAUCUUCAGGUUUGAUGGUGAAUUUCCUGGAAGUUAAAGAAAAAAGAGAGGCAUAAUUAUUAAUAUAGAGAGGGAAACAUUUCCUUGGGGAAGUUAAAUUUUUCUAACACUGAAUUUUAAAAAUUUAUCAUGUGUGACUUUGCAGAGGGAUCACUGAGUGAUUUACAGAACAUAAAGUGUUUGACAGUGUAUCUAUAGCAGGAGUAGUGAUCUAAUUUGUGUGUUGAUAUUUUUGAUGGAAGUUUUUAACAAAAGUCAAGGGUGUAACACUAAAAGGCAACUCACUAAAUUCAACUGAAUGAGGGUUUAAGGAAAUAUAGUCCAAGUUAAAAAAAAUAAGGACGAGAGUGGGGCUUCAGCCCUGAUCCGUGGGUAGGAUUUAUAAUAUCCCAAAGGUCAUCAGUAACUGUCACCUCUCUCAGGUGUUCCUUUGAUAGGAGUUGAGACUGGAACGCAAGAUCCUCUGGCUGCGAUCCUGGUGUGCUGUGUGUUUGAUUGAGGAGUGAUUAACAAUACCUUUAAGAGUUUUUAAUGAAGUUCACAUUCCCUGUUGUAAUGCAAAAGCUUCCACAUUUUCUCACGGGCAUUAACAACAAUCACUACUUUAUACUUAGCAAGUAAUUUAUAUUUUUGCAAGUAAAUCUACUUCCAGUUUGACAAUCACGCUCUUGGAUUGCAGAAUAUUGAUGUAGACUGGUCCUUAGACACGAUGAACGGAGCUUCUCUUUGUAAUGGGUAAGAGACAAGCAAACGUCGUGUGGAAGGUCAGCACGAAAUGCAAAUACUCUCUCUCAGGGUCAGAGCCUGCUGCUACAGGAGGAGGCUGAAGGCACCAGCGACACAUCGUUUUUCAUGAGUUCAUGACACCACGGGCUUUGAAGAUGAAGCUAUGCCAUGUGUCAGUGUUAGAACCAGCCCAGCCAAGCUGACUGCCUCAUCCCUCUGUUUCUAAGACUUUUGCCUAGAGACUUCAGGGGAUAAUAUUUGAGCAGGAAUAAUAGGGGAUAAUAGUAUGAGCAGGAAUUACCACUGGAGAAAGAAAUUCAAGGGAUUAGUCAGUUUAAGCGUUUGAUCUUUAAAGUUCUGAGGAUCAGAAGGCUGAGCAUACUGAUAAUAUAAGUCCAAUAGGGUGCAAAUUGUUAACAUAGUAGGUUCUUAACAUUGAAAGAUUUAACGUUUGUCGGUUUGACACAUUGUAACACAAUAGAAUAACGGCAGUUAAUUUUGGGGAAACGCGAACUUGAAUCAAGUGUGUAAUACAGCUGUGUAGCAGAGCGUCACCUACUAAUAACUGAGCCUAUAGCAGAUCCAAGGCACAGGAACGUGUGGUUUUUGUCCUCUACUUGUGCCACAUAGAAUUACAUUAAAUGAUGAGAAACACUUGCUCGAGGAAUUUGUAAUAGUAACUAUAAACUGGAAACAACUUAUAAGUCUACCAAUAGGGAGUAUUUACACUGAUACUAUAGACUAUUAGGGAGCUCUUAAAAAAAGGAUAAUAGUGAAAAGGAACUUGCCUUACCAGAAAUUACUUACUAUCAAACUACAGCAAUCAAACUGCAAGCUACUGGCAGAGUAAUAUAAAAACAAAUUAUUAAGUAGAAUAGAGUGUCCAGAAAUAGAUCCAAGCAAAUCUGAGGAAUUAAUCUGUGAUGGUUUAGUUCAUAGUGGUGCUGGCAUAAUUGGAUAUUUAUUCAGAAGAAACCACCUCAUACCAUGUAAAAUAAAUCCCAAAUGGAUUAAAUAUUUAAGAGUAAAAAGAAUAUAAUAAAAUAUUAUAACAAUAUAUAAGAAAAUAUUUGUGGAAACUCCCAGGUGGGAGAAACUCUCUUAAGAAACACUGGAAACUCAGAUGCCAUAAGGAAAAGACUGACCAAUUUGCUGAGUAAAUAAUUUUGGGUGGCACGUUCUACCCUAGUCAGAUUCACAAGACUGAGGGAAAUAUUUGCAUGCAUAUGUCAGCAAAGGAUCAAAGGCUUCAAAACAUAGAGGUAUGAAUAUAAAGAUGCUUAUGUUAGCAUUGUUUGAAGAGGAAACAUUUUGGAAACAACCUGAACAUCAAUCAAUGGGGGAAUGGUUGAAUGACUUAUGGUAUGAUCAUGAUAUGACUGUUAUCCAGAAAUUAAAGAAAAUGAGUUAGACUCAUAUAUUACCCAAGAAAGACGGCCAUAA